UACGGAGGGUGCAAGCGUUAUCCGGAUUCACUGGGUUUAAAGGGUGCGUAGGUGGGAAAGUAAGUCAGUGGUGAAAUCUCCGUGCUUAACUUGGAAACUGCCAUUGAUACUAUCAAUCUUGAAUGCCGUGGAGGUCAGCGGAAUAUGUCAUGUAGCGGUGAAAUGCUUAGAUAUGGCAUAGAACACCAAUUGCGAAGGCAGCUGGCUACACGAAUAUUGACACUGAUGCACGAAAGCGUGGGGAUCAAACAGG
rnacentral:rRNA from 1 species